UGAUGAAGAUGAUGAAAGAAAUGGACGGGUGAUGAUCUACUUUAUUCAUAUGAUCAAAUAAACCUCUUCGCUACGUUCUUUCUGAUUCAAAU
rfam:Gossypium hirsutum cultivar TM-1 chromosome 22, whole genome shotgun sequence